rnacentral:sRNA from 1 species
UACUCGUAUCCGCUGCAGAUCGACGUG